UGGGUUAUAUUGGACAAUGGGCGAAAGCCUGAUCCAGCCAUGCCGCGUGUGUGAAGAAGGUCUUCGGAUUGUAAAGCACUUUAAGUUGGGAGGAAGGGCAGUAAGCGAAUACCUUGCUGUUUUGACGUUACCGACAGAAUAAGCACCGGCUAACUCUGUGCCAGCAGCCGCGGUAAUACAGAGGGUGCAAGCGUUAAUCGGAAUUACUGGGCGUAAAGCGCGCGUAGGUGGUUCGUUAAGUUGAAUGUGAAAGCCCCGGGCUCAACCUGGGAACUGCAUCCAAAACUGGCGAGCUAGAGUAGGGCAGAGGGUGGUGGAAUUUACUGUGUAGCGGUGAAAUGCGUAGAUAUAGGAAGGAACACCAGUGGCGAAGGCGACCACCUGGGCUCAUACUGACACUGAGGUGCGAAAGCGUGGGGAGCAAACAGG
rnacentral:rRNA from 1 species